rnacentral:sRNA from 1 species
GCUGGGUAUGGUGGUGCAUGCCUGUAAUCCCAGUGGCUUGGGAAGCUGAGGCAGAAGGAUCACAAGUUCAAAGCCAGCCUCAGCAAUUUAGCAAGGCACUAAUUAACUCAGUGAGACCCUGUCCCUA